UAGGGAAUCUUCGGCAAUGGACGAAAGUCUGACCGAGCAACGCUGCGUGAGUGAAGAAGGUUUUCGGAUCGUAAAACUCUGUUGUUAGAGAAGAACAAGGACGUUAGUAACUGAACGUCCCCUGAUGGUAUCUAACCAGAAAGCCACGGCUAACUACGUGCCAGCAGCCGCGGUAAUACGUAGGUGGCAAGCGUUGUCCGGAUUUAUUGGGCGUAAAGCGAGCGCAGGCGGUUUCUUAAGUCUGAUGUGAAAGCCCCCGGCUCAACCGGGGAGGGUCAUUGGAAACUGGGAGACUGGAGUGCAGAAGAGGAGAGUAGAAUUCCAUGAGUAGCGAUGAAAUGCGUAGAUAUAUGGAGGAACACCAGUGGAGAAGGCGGCACUCUGGUCUGUAACUGACGAUGAGGCACGAAAGCGUGGGGAGCAAACAGG
rnacentral:rRNA from 1 species